rnacentral:rRNA from 1 species
AGGCUUCUGCACCUGUCAGGAUAUUCUAGUCCAACAUCGAGGUCACAAACCUUUUUUUCGAUAAGAACUCUCAAAAAAGAUUAUGCUGUUAUCCCUACGGUAACUAAUUCUUUUAAUCGUAAUAAGUACGGAUCUAGAUUUAGACAUUUUUAUAAAUAAAAGAAGCUUUAAUUGUUCCUUAGUCGCCCCAACCAAAAUUUUUUAUGAGAAGAAAUGUAUAUAUUUACUUUCUUUAUAUCAUAAAUGAUUUUUAAGCUCGAUAGGGUCUUCUUGUCUUUUAAUUUUAUCUAAGUUUCUUCACUUAGAAAAUAAAUUCCAGUGAUUUCUGUAGAGACAGGGUUGCCCUUGUCAAACCUUUCAUACUAGCCCUCAAUUAUAGGGCAAAUGAUUAUGCUACCUUUGCACGGUCAGAGUACCGCGGCCGUUAAAUACUA